AGAGUUUGAUCAUGGCUCAGGAUGAACGCUAGCUACAGGCUUAACACAUGCAAGUCGAGGGGAAACGACAUCGAAAGCUUGCUUUUGAUGGGCGUCGACCGGCGCACGGGUGAGUAGCGCGUAUCCAACCUGCCCACCACUUGGGGAUAACCUUGCGAAAGUAAGACUAAUACCCAAUGACGUCUCUAGAAGACAUCUGAAGGAGAUUAAAGAUUUAUCGGUGAUGGAUGGGGAUGCGUCUGAUUAGCUUGUUGGCGGGGGUAACGGCCGACCAAGGCGACGAUCAGUAGGGGUUCGUGAGAGGAAGGUCCCCCGACAUUGGAACUGAGACACGGUCCAACUCCUACGGGAGGCA
rnacentral:rRNA from 1 species